UACGUAGGGGGCGAGCGUUGUCCGGAUUUAUUGGGCGUAAAGAGCUCGUAGGCGGCUCAGCAAGUCGGGUGUGAAACCUCCAGGCUCAACCUGGAGACGCCACCUGAUACUGCUGUGGCUAGAGUCCGGUAGGGGAACACGGAAUACCCGGUGUAGCGGUGAAAUGCUUAGAUAUCGGGUGGAACACCAGUGGCGAAGGCGGUGUUCUGGGCCGGAACUGACGCUGAGGAGCGAAAGCGUGGGUAGCAAACAGG
rnacentral:rRNA from 1 species